GAUGAAGAACGCAGCGAAAUGCGAUAAGUAAUGUGAAUUGCAGAAUUCAGUGAAUCAUCGAAUCUUUGAACGCACAUUGCGCCCGGUAGUAUUCUGCCGGGCAUGCCUGUUCGAGCGUCAUUUCAACCCUCAGGCCCCCGGGCCUGGCGUUGGGGAUCGGCGGAAGCCCCCUGCGGGCACAACGCCGUCCCCCAAAUACAGUGGCGGUCCCGCCGCAGCUUCCAUUGCGUAGUAGCUAACACCUCGCAACUGGAGAGCGGCGCGGCCACGCCGUAAAACACCCAACUUCUGAAUGUUGACCUCGAAUCAGGUAGGAAUACCCGCUGAACUUAAGCAUAUCAAUAAGCGGAGGA
rnacentral:misc_RNA from 1 species